rnacentral:rRNA from 1 species
CCUACGGGUGGCUGCAGUGGGGGAUAUUGCACAAUGGGGGGAACCCUGAUGCAGCGACGCCGCGUGGGUGAAGGAGCGUUUCGGCGCGUAAAGCCCUAUCGGCAGGGAAGAAGAUGACGGUACCUGACCAAGAAGCCCCGGCUAACUACGUGCCAGCAGCCGCGGUAAUACGUAGGGGGCAAGCGUUGUUCGGAAUGACUGGGCGUAAAGGGUGUGUAGGUGGUUUGAUAAGUUAGAUGUGUAAUACCCAGGGCUUAACUCGGGUGCUGCAUCUAAAACUGUUAGACUUGAGUACUGGAGAGUAUAGUGGAAUUCCUAGUGUAGCGGUGGAAUGCGUAGAUAUUAGGAGGAACAUCAGUGGCGAAGGCGACUAUCUGGACAGCAACUGACACUGAGGCACGAAAGCGUGGGGAGCAAACAGGAUUAGAUACCCCAGUAGUC